rnacentral:tRNA from 1 species
CUGCUGCGGGCGGUACGGACGGCCGCGGCGGCCGCAGCCCGCUGAACGGGCCCGCGGCCCGGUGGCGGCCGUCCGGCCCGCCCGCGGCAGC